rnacentral:tRNA from 1 species
AGCCUUGUAUUCAUUUUGUGAUUACAGAAUGCAAUUCUGUAGGGGUGAGUUGAACUUACCAAGGCCU